UGCUGGGGGGAUUAGUGGCGAACGGGUGAGUAACACGUGAGUAACCUGCCCUUGACUCUGGGAUAAGCCUGGGAAACUGGGUCUAAUACCGGAUAUGACCUUCCAUCGCAUGGUGGUUGGUGGAAAGCUUUUGUGGUUUUGGAUGGACUCGCGGCCUAUCAGCUUGUUGGUGGGGUAAUGGCUUACCAAGGCGACGACGGGUAGCCGGCCUGAGAGGGUGACCGGCCACACUGGGACUGAGACACGGCCCAGACUCCUACGGGAGGCAGCAGUGGGGAAUAUUGCACAAUGGGCGCAAGCCUGAUGCAGCGACGCCGCGUGAGGGAUGACGGCCUUCGGGUUGUAAACCUCUUUCAGUAGGGAAGAAGCGUAAGUGACGGUACCUGCAGAAGAAGCGCCGGCUAACUACGUGCCAGCAGCCGCGGUAAUACGUAGGGCGCAAGCGUUAUCCGGAAUUAUUGGGCGUAAAGAGCUCGUAGGCGGUUUGUCGCGUCUGCCCUGAAAGUUCGGGGCUCACCUUCGGAUCUGCGGUGGGUACGGGCAGACUAGAGUGAUGUAGGGGAGACUGGAAUUCCUGGUGUAGCGGUGAAAUGCGCAGAUAUCAGGAGGAACACCGAUGGCGAAGGCAGGUCUCUGGGCAUUAACUGACGCUGAGGAGCGAAAGCAUGGGGAGCGAACAGGAUUAGAUACCCUGGUAGUCCAUGCCGUAAACGUUGGGCACUAGGUGUGGGGGACAUUCCACGUUUUCCGCGCCGUAGCUAACGCAUUAAGUGCCCCGCCUGGGGAGUACGGCCGCAAGGCUAAAACUCAAAGGAAUUGACGGGGGCCCGCACAAGCGGCGGAGCAUGCGGAUUAAUUCGAUGCAACGCGAAGAACCUUACCAAGGCUUGACAUGAACCGGACCGCUGCAGAAAUGUGGUUUCCCCUUUGGGGCUGGUUUACAGGUGGUGCAUGGUUGUCGUCAGCUCGUGUCGUGAGAUGUUGGGUUAAGUCCCGCAACGAGCGCNACCCUCGUUCUAUGUUGCCAGCACGUGAUGGUGGGGACUCAUAAGGAGACUGCCGGGGUCAACUC
rnacentral:rRNA from 1 species